rfam:Clostridium sp. CAG:230 genomic scaffold, scf204
CCGUGCUAGCCGGGGAGUCAGCGGCACCCUGUACCUGCAAUCCGCUAUAGCAGGGGUGAUGUUCUGUUUCGGAUAAAUCAAUUGCAAAGCUGCCCAGUGUAUGUGGCGUUGAAGUUUUGGUCUUGCGCAAUGAGAACUCAUGAACCGUGUCAGGAGGGGAACCUAGCAGCACUAAGUGAGACCUCUCGUGUGCCGUAAGGUUGCCGGAACUGAGUUAACAGCAUUGGUAACGUUUGCAUUGUUUUUUUCAACACAGAAUGCACGG